rnacentral:rRNA from 1 species
UACGUAGGGGGCUAGCGUUGUCCGGAUUUAUUGGGCGUAAAGAGCGUGUAGGCGGCCAGGUAGGUCUGGUGUGAAAACUCGAGGCUUAACCUCGAGAUGUCAUCGGAAACCAUUUGGCUAGAGUCCGGAAGAGGAGAGUGGAAUUCCUGGUGUAGCGGUGAAAUGCGCAGAUAUCAGAAGGAACGCCGGUGGCGAAAGCGCUCGACUGGAUCUCUUCUGACGCUGAGGCGCGAAAGCUAGGGGAGCAAACGGG